GUCUACAGCCAUACCACCCUGAAUGUGCCUGAUCUCGUCUGAUCUUGGAAGCUAAGCAGGGUCAGGCCUGGUUAGUAUUGGAUGGGACAAAAAGCAUUUAGCAGCCAGAUA
rnacentral:rRNA from 1 species